rnacentral:rRNA from 7 species
CAACAUGACUCUCGGCAACGGAUAUCUCGGCUCUCGCAUCGAUGAAGAACGUAGCAAAAUGCGAUACCUGGUGUGAAUUGCAGAAUCCCGUGAACCAUCGAGUUUUUGAACGCAAGUUGCGCCCGAGGCCUUCUGGUCGAGGGCACGUCUGCCUGGGCGUCACG